AGUGAACGCUGGCGGUAGGCCUAACACAUGCAAGUCGAACGGCAGCACAGUAAGAGCUUGCUCUUACGGGUGGCGAGUGGCGGACGGGUGAGGAAUACAUCGGAAUCUACUUUUUCGUGGGGGAUAACGUAGGGAAACUUACGCUAAUACCGCAUAUGACCUACGGGUGAAAGCAGGGGAUCUUCGGACCUUGCGCGAUUGAAUGAGCCGAUGUCGGAUUAGCUAGUUGGCGGGGUAAAGGCCCACCAAGGCGGCGAUCCGUAGCUGGUCUGAGAGGAUGAUCAGCCACACUGGAACUGAGACACGGUCCAGACUCCUACGGGAGGCAGCAGUGGGGAAUAUUGGACAAUGGGCGCAAGCCUGAUCCAGCCAUACCGCGUGGGUGAAGAAGGCCUUCGGGUUGUAAAGCCCUUUUGUUGGGAAAGAAAAGCAGCAGGUUAAUACCCCGCUGUUCUGACGGUACCCAAAGAAUAAGCACCGGCUAACUUCGUG
rnacentral:rRNA from 1 species